AUGGAGAGAAUCCUUUGCUGCUGGAAGAGGAAAAUCCCUGCAGCCUUGAGGUCUGGGAAAAGCGCUUCUGCUGGUUGGAAGGUGAUUUUGGGAACUGCCCAACCUGAGGGUCCUCACUGGGAUGCUGCUCGGGGAUGCAGGAAAGGAAGGGAAACCCCAGGUCACAAACCAAGGGAAACGUUCCCCGCCUGGCCUGGAGCGAGGGCGGGUUUGUGGCUGCGUCUUGGAGCAUCUGCAAAUGGUCCUGAUCUCGCCCAAAUUGCUCCCAAAUCAUCAUCCUUGGGGGAUCUCAGGCCUCGCUGGCUCAGACUCAGCCCUGCCAAGGCGCUGGGGCUCUGCCAGAACCGGCUGGGCGCAGGCUCUGAGCUGCCCUGGACUGGGGAUACUGGUGCUGAAAGAGGGGUAGGUGGAAAAGGGGGGCCUGGCUGCCUGUGUUGGGGACCCCAGGCUGUUUUUCUGUCGCUUUGCAGCUGGGUGGUUUUUUGGGAUGUAAAAGCAGCGGCUCUGGGACUCUGCUGGUGUAAAUGGGGGAGAUUUUGGGGUUCCCUUCAGAGCCAGGGGCUGCGAGAAAACAUCUGGGCAGGGGAGAAGCUGGAAAAUGUUCUGGAAAAGAUGCUCAUGCUGAAGGGUUCCCCCCAAAUAUGAGACCUCACCUCGUUCCAGCCCCCAAACUGGUUUUGGGGGAUCUUGGGGGGGCUCAGGGCUCCCCAGGAAAGCGCCACCGCUGGCACUGAGCUGUGAGCUCGUUAAAGCUCUACCAGCCCCCGCUGCAAACCAGUUAAACCCAUUUAGGGAAGGGUUAAGCCAGUUCCGUGCGAUUUGGGAACCUAUUGAUGCAAAGGUUAAUCUGGUCUAAGUGCAUCACCGUCGGGGAUUUGAACCAAUUUAACUGUUCCAGCUCCAGGUUUCCCCUGCAGGAUUUUAGGGAAGGGUCCGGGCUGUGCCCCCCUUCAUCCCGGGCUGCGGAGAGCUUUGGGAAGAGAGAGAAAAUAAACCAGGGACUGAAGGGAAGAGCCUCAUGCAGGCUGAAUCUGAAACGCUGCUAUUUAUAGCCCAUCCCUGCCCAGCCAGCCAGGAUUCCACGCGGGUCCCGGUGCCCGGCUGGCACAGGGCAGCAGCAGGGUGGGCGCUGGGACCCUCCCAGUCCAUCCCAGUUGGCCGGGCUGAGGCCGAGCUGAGUCAGAGCAGAGGAUGCUCCUUCCUCAUUAUCCCGCUGCCCCAGGGCUUUCCCACGAACCUCAUCCAGCCGGGCCGUGGGACCUGGAAGAGGUGUUUGUUUAUUUUUUGCUGUCAUCCCUGAAGGGCUGUAAUUACAAUUAGAGCGUCCACGAGGCACGGGGCAGAGAUUCAUCUCCCUUCCAGCGCCCAGGAGAGUGGGAGGCAAAGAGGGAAAAGGUGGAAAUGCUUCCAUCAGCCGAUCCCCGCGCCCACACAGCAUCCCUGGGGAGCGCGGCGAGGUUGGCAGAGGUCACACCUGAGGGUUUCUCAACCCUUCCCCUCCACGCUGCUGUCGCGUGUCGGUGUUGCUGCAAUUCCUGGGGAAUUGAAAGAGCCGGGAGUGCUUAAUGCAGGAAUUGGAGGCAGGGAUUUCACAGAUGUGGGAAUGCAGGGACGGGAAGGGGAUGGGGCAGCGCCGGGGAGCUGCCAGGCUGCGGAGCUGCUGCCGGGGGAGAAGCGGCUCCCGCACCGCUCUGCGCUGCCUUGUGACUGCGAAAUGAAUGCGCUUAAUAUAGGCCAAGUGAAAACAUCCAGCCCAAAAUAGAAGCACCCCCCCCCCCCCCCCCCCCCCCCCCCCCCCCCCCCCCCCCCCCCCCCCCCCCCCCCCCCCCCCCCCCCCCCCCCCCCCCCCCCCCCCCCCCCCCCCCCCCCCCCCCCCCCCCCCCCCCCCCCCCCCCCAUAGGCCAAGUGAAAACAUCCAGCCCAAACUAGAAGCCCUUGCCCAGAAAGCGCCGCGGCUCCGGCAGGAGCAGUCACAAGGUACCUGCCGUGGCACGGGGGGGCUGCGCCAGGUGUGCCACAUCCCGCCUGUCCCCAAGGUCACCUCCCCCCGGGCCAGAGCGGCUCAGGGAUGGGGCAACACCCCCGGGAUUGGGAUGGGGAUGGGGAUGGGGUGAGGCCCCAAAUCCUGAGAUCCCACGGGUGCUGCAGGGGAUGGGGUUGGGAUGAUUCCUGCUCGUGCUGCUGGAGCUGAGCUUGGGAUCUGGGGCUGGAAGGAAAGGGAAGGGAUCGGCUCUGGGGGCUGCUGCCAGGCUCGGGGGGCUCGCUCAGCUGUGUGUUUUCCCCGGGAAAAAUCGGAUAUUCCUGUUCCCCUGAGUCAGAGGGGGUGGGGGUGGUGCCAAGGCAGAUUUUGGGGGUCGCAGCAGCCCCGAGGUUGCUCUGCUGCUGGUUUUGGGCUGCACUGGCAGCUCCUGAUGGGAUCCGUGGUGCUGCCAACUCCAAAGGCAAAAAGCAUCGCGGAUCCCUUCCCCGAUCCCACAGAGACUCUGCUCAGGGCGCACUCUGGGUCCAACCCCCACUUUUUUUGGGGCUCCCUGUGGUCACUCGUGACCUUCCCAGCGCUGCUGAUGGUUUAAUCCAGCUCGACCGGGCACAGCUGCUGGCCAGGAAAAUGGGCCAGGAGGGGGUGAGAGUUCAGCGCUGGAGCUUUGGCAGGUAUAAAGGGAAAAGCCAGAAAUCCCUCCCCGCUAAUCUCAGCUGCACCAGGGAUCCGCGCUCGGAGUUGGAAGCUCUGCUGUUCCAGCCUGUGGCUCGCAGGAAGGGUUUGGGGAGACAAAUUCAACCCCAUCACUCCAGAUUUCUGCCCCAGCGUCCAAUUAGUGCCGGAAAAACCCAAAAAUCCAAGCUCAGCUUGAAACUCCUGCUUUUUAUAAUGCGGGCUCUUUAACCCCUGACCCCAAGGCGGCUCUAGACGGACCCAGGGGAACUCCCGAGCCAAAUAAAUCUGUCACAUCCACUUAAAAAUCCCCCAAGGAGCCGAGCCAGCCCUCAGAUCGGUUCAGAUGCAAAUUCACGGCUUGUCCUGGGCCAAGUGGGGUUUUUGAUUCACAAGGCUCCUGCCCAGGGGCUCGGCUGGGACAAGGUGAAGGCGACCUUGGGGUUGCUGGGUUGGAGCGGGGAAGGAGGGAAACGCGAGGACGAGGGAGAUAAGAGGCACAGCUGGAGUGAGAGAGGACGCGGGGUUUGUUUCCUUUUCUGAUUGCUGAGGAAUUAAAGGGGUUGGAAAAUUGGAGGGAAUUCCCCCCGGCCACCCAGGCUCUGCCAAGUGCUCGCUAUCAGCAGUGUAAAUACUUUAUUUUAGUGAUUUUUCAGCCUGUAGGUGUUGUUUUUUUUUUUUUUUUUUUUUUUUUUUUUUUGGAGUUGCUCAGGUGCUUUGCUCACUGGAGCCUGGGGGAAACUGAGGCAUGGAGGUGCUACCUGGGAAUACUCAGAUUUCUUCCCAAAUCAGAGGAAAAUGCUGAAUUAUUGAAGGAAAAGCUGGGCUGAUGCUUGCGGGCCUUGUUGGUAGCCCAAAGAGCAUUUUAUUGAAAUAUUUAUAUUAAAAUAUAUCAAUAUUUUAUUGAAAUAUUGAUAUAUUUUGGCUUGUGAAAAGCAGAAUAAAUCCUUGUUUUCCAGAGCUUUGGCUCGCUGCUGAGGAAGAUUUGAGUUUUUAACCCCCCCCCCCCCCCCCCCCCCCCCCCCCCCCCCCCCCCCCCCCCCCCCCCUGAAAUUGAGAUUAAAAAAAAAAAACAACAACAAAAAAAAAACAAACCGUAUAACCUCCAGGGCUUCCUGUGUCAUGAGACUGGGAUCACCUCCCUGUCCCUGCAGGCCAUUCCCACCUGGGGACAGGCACAAAGAAAUGGGAUGGGAACAAGCUGAAAAUUAAAAAAAAAAAAAAAAAAAAAAAAAAAAAAAAAAAAAAAAAAAACCCCCCCCCCCCCCCCCCCCCCCCAAAAAAAAAAAAAAAAAAAAAAAAAAAAAAGUUUAUCCCGAUGUCACAUCAACAGGAAGGCGGCUCCGGGGAGGAAGCUCCAAACGACGCCUUUCCUGAGAAGUGCAAACGAGAUUUUCAUGAACUUUUCCAGCGAAACUCGGCUCGGGAAGCGCCGGAUCCGCGUUAAAUCAACAAAGGCGGAGGCUCCGCACGUGGGGGGAGCUCCGAGAGCUCCUCACUCUCAGCUGACGGUCACGGGCAGCCUCCAAAAUUUGCUAUUUUUGCCUGAGCUGGAGCCUAAAAAGAAUAUUUUGCCCCCCUGGCAGUGCCCAGUGCGCGGUGCUGGGGAUUUUUUUGUCUCCUCUUCCCCUCUCCCAACCCCGUUUGUGGCCCCGUGGCUCAGCCCGGGUGGAAUUUGGCUCCCAGCUCGGUGAUUUGGCUACCACAGGUUCAAACAGAUUUCUGCCUCCCUCCCCCCGCCUUCAGGUGGUUGACUUUUAUUAAAAGCUUUUUAAUCUUUGAUAUCAACAGGAAAAUCAUUUCCUCACCUACCUCUGGCUUUUGCCAGCUCUGAGAGGCUUUUUAGCAGCUUUUGGAGCUGUUUGUUGGGGUUACAAAUGCAAAAUAUAUUUAUUUUUGUGCCUCUAUUUAAAUAUUUCCUCCCAAAUGAAUCGAUGUGGGGACUGCAGUAAUUUUGUUCCAUCCAUCCCCUCACUUGAUUAAUUAAAUUAAUCUUGUGCUAGCUACUUUGAAAGCUUUAUUUUUAUUUCUAGAACAUUGGGAAAUAUCCCUCAGGGAAGCUGGGAGAGGAGUUUCAAGCAGGUUUUCAGUCACGUUUUUACCCAAAAAAAAAAAAAAAAAAAAAAAAGGAAAUUUUGAAGCAGGGCGGCAACUCUUCAUUCCUCAUCCCAUUCCAGGAGGGAAUUCCUGGAUUUCCCUCACACCCAGCUCAGUGUGAGGCUUCCCAGCUGGAAAAACGAGAUUCCUGCAGUCCCACAGGGCUGAGUCAGGACAGGGAACCUGGAGCACCCUGGGACAGGAGCUCAGACCUGGUUUGACACCAGGAUCCUCCUCCAGAGGGGAAACUGCUGCUUUUUUUUUCCUACUUUUAUCUGCUUCUUUUCCCCUUUUUUUCUGCUUUUUUCCUCCAUUUUUCUCCCCUUUUUCUCCAUUUUUUUCUACUUUUUUUCUCAAUUUUUUCUCAAUUUUUUCUCAAUUUUUUCUCCAUUUUUUCUUCAUUUUUUUCUUCUCUUUUCCUCCAUUUUUCUCCAUUUUUUUCUGAUUUUUUUCCACCUUUUUUCCUCCAUUUUUCUCCAUUUUUUUCUGCCUUUUUUUCUCCUUUUUUUCUCCAUUUCUCCCCCCUUUUUUUCUCCUUUUCUGAGAGAGCUCCAGGCAGAGGCAGGAGGAGGAGGAUGAGGCUGCUGAAAAUCCCUGGGAUUGAUUUUCCACCUGGAGUCACCCUGGUCCGGGUUUAAAACACUGGGGUUUAAAAAUUAAAUAUUCCAGUGAUUUCCUGCCCCUCAGGAGCAUCACUCAGGGUGUCCAGACCUGGCAGCAAUUUCCCAUGGACUUU
rnacentral:lncRNA from 12 species